UACGUAGGGUGCGAGCGUUAAUCGGAAUUACUGGGCGUAAAGCGUGCGCAGGCGGUCUGUUAAGACCGAUGUGAAAUCCCCGGGCUUAACCCUGGGAACUGCAUUGGUGACUGGCAGGCUUUGAGUGUGGCAGAGGGAGGUAGAAUUCCACGUGUAGCAGUGAAAUGCGUAGAGAUGUGGAGGAAUACCGAUGCGAAGGCAGCCUCCUGGGCCAACACUGACGCUCAUGCACGAAAGCGUGGGAGC
rnacentral:rRNA from 1 species